UUAAAUGUGGGUCUGUCUGUGCCCUGAGAGCAUCACCCACACCCACACUCUCCCCUUAAGAAGUCCUGACUGCACAGCCCCUCACCAUGGACUGGAGCUGGAGAGCCCUCUUCCUGGUGGCAGUGGCUACAGGUGUCCACUCCCAGGUGCAGCUGGUGCAGUCUGGGGCUGAGGUGAGGAAGCCUGGGGCCUCAGUGAAGGUCUCCUGCAAGGCUUCUGGGUACACCUUCACAGGCUACGAUAUGCACUGGGUGCGGCAGGCCCCAGGUCAAGGCCUUGAGUGGAUGGGAGUAGUUAACCCUAACAGUGGUGGCACAAACUAUGCGCAGAAGUUCCAGGGCAGACUCACCAUAACUGCAGACAAGUCCACGAGCACAGCCUACAUGGAGCUGAGAAGCCUGAGAGCCGAGGACACGGCCAUGUAUUACUGUGCGAGAGACACAGUGAGGGGGAGUCAGCGUGAGCCCAGACACAAACCUCCUUAG